rnacentral:rRNA from 1 species
GUAAUGCCGGAUGCUCCAACAGGAUGCAUGUCGUGUCGGGAAAGAUUCUAUCGGUAUGGGAUGGGGUCGCGUCCUAUCAGCUUGAUGGCGGGGUAACGGCCCACCAUGGCUUCGACGGGUAGCCGGCCUGAGAGGGCGACCGGCCACAUUGGGACUGAGAUACGGCCCAGACUCCUACGGGAGGCAGCAGUGGGGAAUAUUGCACAAUGGGCGCAAGCCUGAUGCAGCGACGCCGCGUGCGGGAUGACGGCCUUCGGGUUGUAAACCGCUUUUGACUGGGAGCAAGCCCUUCGGGGUGAGUGUACCUUUCGAAUAAGCACCGGCUAACUACGUGCCAGCAGCCGCGGUAAUACGUAGGGUGCAAGCGUUAUCCGGAAUUAUUGGGCGUAAAGGGCUCGUAGGCGGUUCGUCGCGUCCGGUGUGAAAGUCCAUCGCUUAACGGUGGAUCCGCGCCGGGUACGGGCGGGCUUGAGUGCGGUAGGGGAGACUGGAAUUCCCGGUGUAACGGUGGAAUGUGUAGAUAUCGGAAA